rnacentral:rRNA from 1 species
CACCAAAAAGCUAGCCCAAACCAACAAAACCAACAAACCAACAUUAAUACCCCCUAAUUUACACCCCCUCACCUAACUAAAAUAUUUUUUUCCUUAGUAUGGAAGACAGAACAGGACCUAUGGAGCUAUAGAAAAAGUACCGCAAGGGAAAGCUGAAAAAGAAAUGAAAAAAGCCAGUUAAGAAUAAAAAAGCAGAGAUUAAACCUCGUACCUUUUGCAUCAUGAUUUAGCCAGCAACUUCAAGCAAAGAGCCCUUUAGUUUGAAACCCCGAAACUGAGUGAGCUACUCCAGGCCAGCCUAAAAAAUAGGGCACACCCUUCUCUGUGGCAAAAGAGUGGGAAGAGCUUUGAGUAGAGGUGAUAAACCUACCGAACCCAGUUAUAGCUGGUUGCCUGGGAACUGAAUAUUAGUUCAGCCUCUCAACUUCUUCCCUCCAAAUCCCACAACAUUUAUUAAGGGACAAAAAGAAGAAGAGAGAGUUAGUCAAAGGGGGUACAGCCCCUUUGAAACAGACACAACUUUUUUAGGUGGGUAAGGAUUAUAUUUAUUCAAGGAAACAUGUUAAAGUGGGCCUAAAAGCAGCCAUCCUAACAAAAAGCGUUAAAGCUUAGACAUCAAAUUAUCCAGUUAUUCUAAUAUCUUACUCCAAACCCCCUAAUACUUACCAGGCCGCCCAUUAAAAUGGAAGCGACCAUGCUAAAAUGAGUAAUAAGGAAGCACCGCCCUCCUCAUAGCGCAUCUGUACAUCGGAAUGGACAAACCCCCGAAAAUCAACGGCCCCAAAACACAGCGGGCAUUAAAAACCCCCUUAAAAUGCUAGAAAAACUUUUAAGCUAAACCGGUAACCCCACACAGGAGCACACCUAAAUGAAAGACUAAAAGAAAAAGAAGGAACUCGGCAAAACCUAUAAGCCUCGCCUGUUUACCAAAAACAUCGCCUCUUGCCCCCCCCCGUAUAAGAGGUCCUGCCUGCCCGGUGACACUAAGUUAAACGGCCGCGGUAUUUUGACCGUGCAAAGGUAGCGCAAUCACUUGUCUUUUAAAUGAAGACCCGUAUGAAUGGCAAGACGAGGGCUUAACUGUCUCCUUUUUCCAGUCAAUGAAAUUGAUCUUCCCGUGCAGAAGCGGGAAUACGCCCAUAAGACGAGAAGACCCUGUGGAGCUUAAGACAAUAGAACCGCCCACGUCAAUCACUGCAAAAUAAAGCCAAACAAACUAAUUGGUUUCUGUUCUAAUGUUUUCGGUUGGGGCGACCAUGGGGAACAACAAAACCCCCACGUGGACUGGGAGUAACCUCCACACUCCUACAAAUCAGAGGGACACCUCUAGUUACCAGAACUUCUGACCUUAAAUGAUCCGGCAAUGCCGAUCAACGAACUAAGUUACCCCAGGGAUAACAGCGCAAUCCCCUUUUAGAGCCCAUAUCGACAAGGGGGUUUACGACCUCGAUGUUGGAUCAGGACAUCCUAGUGGUGCAGCAGCUACUAAGGGUUCGUUUGUUCAACGAUUAAAGUCCUACGUGAUCUGAGUUCAGACCGGAGCAAUCCAGGUCAGUUUCUAUCUAUGCUAUGUUCUCUUCUAGUACGAAAGGACCGAAGAGAAGAGGCCUAUGCCCCAAGCACGCCUCUCCCCUGCCCAAUGAAGAAAUCUAAACUGGACAAAAGGGCAUGCUUUAAGGGCAAAGAUAACGCCAU